rnacentral:misc_RNA from 1 species
AAGUCGUAACAAGGUCUCCGUUGGUGAACCAGCGGAGGGAUCAUUACCGAGUUUACAACUCCCAAACCCAAUGUGAACGUUACCAAACUGUUGCCUCGGCGGGAUCUCUGCCCCGGGUGCGUCGCAGCCCCGGACCAAGGCGCCCGCCGGAGGACCAACCAAAACUCUUUUUGUAUACCCCCUCGCGGGUUUUUUAUAUAAUCUGAGCCUUCUCGGCGCCUCUCGUAGGCGUUUCGAAAAUGAAUCAAAACUUUCAACAACGGAUCUCUUGGUUCUG